rnacentral:rRNA from 1 species
AUACGAAGUGGGCUAGCGUUGUUCGGAAUCACUGGGCGUAAAGCGCGCGUAGGUGGAUCAAUUAGUUGAGGGUGAAAUCCCGGGGCUCAACCUCGGAACUGCCUUCAAUACUGUUGAUCUUGAGACCGAGAGAGGUGAGUGGAAUUCCUAGUGUAGAGGUGAAAUUCGUAGAUAUUAGGAAGAACACCAGUGGCGAAGGCGGCUCACUGGCUCGGUCCUGACGCUGAGGUGCGAAAGCGUGGGGAGCAAACAGGAUUAGAAACCCUGGUAGUCC